CCUACGGGGGGCAGCAGUGGGGAAUAUUGGACAAUGGGCGCAAGCCUGAUCCAGCAAUGCCGCGUGGGUGAGGAAGGCCUUCGGGUUGUAAAGCCCUUUCGCACGCGACGAUGAUGACGGUAGCGUGAGAAGAAGCCCCGGCUAACUUCGUGCCAGCAGCCGCGGUAAUACGAAGGGGGCGAGCGUUGUUCGGAAUUACUGGGCGUAAAGGGCGCGUAGGCGGCCCGCCGCGUCAGGUGUGAAAGCCCCGGGCUCAACCCGGGAAGGACGCUUGAAACGGGCGGGCUGGAGUUCCGGCGAGGAUGGUGGAAUUCCCAGUGUAGAGGUGAAAUUCGUAGAGAUUGGGAAGAACACCGGUGGCGAAGGCGGCCAUCUGGACGGACACUGACGCUGAGGCGCGACAGCGUGGGGAGCAAACAGGAUUAGAUACCCUAGUAGUC
rnacentral:rRNA from 1 species